GAUGAACGCUGGCGGCGUGCCUAAUACAUGCAAGUCGAGCGAACGGACGAGAAGCUUGCUUCUCUGAUGUAGCGGCGGACGGGUGAGUAACACGUGGAUAACCUACCUAUAAGACUGGGAUAACUUCGGGAAACCGUAGCUAAUACCGGAUAAUAUUUUUAACCGCAUGGUUCAAAAGUGAAAGACGGUCUUGCUGUCACUUAUAGAUGGAUCCGCGCUGCAUUAGCUAGUUGGUAAGGUAACGGCUUACCAAGGCAACGAUGCAUAGCCGACCUGAGAGGGUGAUCGGCCACACUGGAACUGAGACACGGUCCAGACUCCUACGGGAGGCAGCAGUAGGGAAUCUUCCGCAAUGGGCGAAAGCCUGACGGAGCAACGCCGCGUGAGUGAUGAAGGUCUUCGGAUCGUAAAACUCUGUUAUUAGGGAAGAACAUAUGUGUAAGUAACUGUGCACAUCUUGACGGUACCUAAUCAGAAAGCCACGGCUAACUACGUG
rnacentral:rRNA from 1 species